UCACAACCAAGAGAGUGUCCAUCUCCUCUCUUUUUGCUAACAUGUAUGUAUGGAUCUCUGUAAGUAUAGCAAUAGAUGGCAUUGAAAAGAAAAUAGGGGACAUCACUCUCUGUAUAUAUUUUUUGUCCUGAUUUUUAAAAAUCUAGCUUAUAUUGUAAGAAUUUCUUCCAGGUCAUGGGUGUCCAGAGGCUGCUUUAAACAGAAGCAUUGGCGUGCAUGUCUCUGACAAUCUCUUACUUUGGUUUGGCUCCCAAGUGAUGUUCUUAUGAUUUUCCC